CAGAUGGCAUCUACAGACGGCGUGUGGAAGACACGAGCUAUUUUGAGGUCCGUCCGUAGUGGCGCACGAAACAACAGUAAACUCGGGAUCCGUCCGCAAUGUGUUAAGGAAAGAGUCACGACCGAAGAGAGAGCAACGCCAGCAGUGGCAGGAGGAGCUUGUCACUGUCGAACUGGACGACACGUCCUCACUGAGAGCUCUGCCCGGAGAGACGGCCCAGGUCCGGCUGCGCUUCAUCAACCAGAGGAGCGUCGCCGUCGCGCUCUACCUCACAAUCGCCGAUACGCACAACUUCAUUACAGCCGGUGUGAGACGAGUUUAUGUUGGCCAACAAGACGUUGAAACGUUAUCAAUUACUGUUACUAUACCAGGAGACACGCCUCUGAGAACACUAGACUUAAUAACCAUCAGCUCAGCAGAAACACAAAACUUCAAAGCAAUAAAUGCAACCGUCUAUUUUUACGUCACGGAAGAGGUUGUAGACACAACUCAGCCAUCUGUAAGUCACAGAAUCACCAAAAACUGUGAUGGAGCACUAGAACCUACUACAUGCUCUUACAGAAAUUGGACUUUUGAAGCUACAGUGAAGGAUGACAGUUCUGGAAUACGCAAAAUAACAACACAGCCUGUUCAACUACAAAAACCAGACCACUUAGUGAUGGGCAUCAGAGGCACAAUAACAUACCAAUAUAGUGUUAGUUGCUGCAUUAAUGAAGUCGAGAUAUUAGUCACUGACGUAGCUGGAAAUUUUGUGAGAUACAAAAUAAAUGUUUUGGGAUUUACUCUUGGAACUGGUGAAAUUAUAGCUAUUGUGUUGGCUGUUAUAAUUAUUAUAUUGUUAAUCGUUUUAAUAAUUGUUUGUGUACAUCAAAAGAAGAAAUCUCAUAGUUUUCCCAUGUCAAGAGACUGAACAGAAUCACAAAGACUUUUCUA